AUCAGUGUAAUGAUAAGUUUUGACUAAAACUUGAUUUGGUCUAUUGUUUAAAUCGUCACCUAGUCCUAUAGAAUGAUGCUUGAUGAUCACUGGCAAAGAACUUGAAAGCACAAUGAUGGAUGCAUCCUUUUUGGAAACGAUUUAGUUAACACACCCUUAGAUAAUCGCACUUUUUAAAAGAACUUGUGGAACCAGAGAUACACAGAGUUAUUUAGUAAAGAGCUGAAGAAGGAGCAGGCAGAAUCACAAAAUCAACACCGUGGCAAAAUGCUGAACCACGUCUGACAGACCAACCCAGCGAGAGGAAGACCAAAAUGAUCAGUGACGACCAAAUUUCAUUCAUUCAUUCAUUCACCAGUUCAUCACCACACAGACAACAUGGAGAAAUGUUGCAUAAAAAAUUUACAGCUGCUGACAACUGUCCAUUCAGUUCAGACAUUGGGUCAGUUCCUCCCUGAUGAUGGCUCAAUACCGAACGUGUUGUGUACUUCAACAAGUCUGCGAGUGAAGAAGGACCGAAUACCAGUUCAGCGCGAGUUCACCGAUUCGCAGACCGACACUCACCAUCAACUCUGUCCAUUCACUCGACAACAGAAUGGCACAAGAAUAUACUGCAUUUAACAUUGUUCUGAAGCUGGAUGAUUUAAUUGUCUUUGUUUUAAACCAAUUCGAACUUAAAUAGAUUAUUAGUUAUAUAAAUUUGUUCUUUGUUGCAAUAAAUAGCUUUUAAACAGGUCCGACAUAAAAAUUUUCCAAAUUAGUUAUUGACCUUUGUAUUAUUUAAAAAAAAUAUAUAUAUAUUUUCAUUCAGGACGUCGUCAAUCGAGAAUUCUCACAGUAUUGUUUCUCAACCAAAACAAAUUUAUUUUAAACAACUUGUAAAUAAUGU
rnacentral:misc_RNA from 1 species